rnacentral:tRNA from 1 species
GGAGAGUUGUCCGAGUUGGCCGAAGGAGCACGCCUGGAAAGUGUGUAGGCGCGACAAGCGUCUCGAGGGUUCGAAUCCCUCACUCUCCG